rnacentral:rRNA from 1 species
UACGGAGGGGGCAAGCGUUGUUCGGAAUCACUGGGCGUAAAGCGCGUGUAGGCGGCCUCUUAAGUCUGGUGUGAAAGCCCGGGGCUCACCCCCGGAAGGGCACUGGAUACUGGGAGGCUAGAGUACCGGAGAGGAGGGUGGAAUUCCUGGUGUAGCGGUGAAAUGCGUAGAUAUCAGGAGGAACUCCGGUGGCGAAGGCGGCCCUCUGGACGGCUACUGAUGCUGGGACGCGAAGGCGUGGGGAGCAACCAGG